rnacentral:rRNA from 1 species
CCUACGGGUGGCAGCAGUGAGGAAUAUUGGUCAAUGGACGAGAGUCUGAACCAGCCAAGUAGCGUGAAGGAUGACUGCCCUAUGGGCUGUAAACUUCUUUUAUAUGGGAAUAAAAUGUUCCACGUGUGGGAUUUUGUAUGUACCAUAUGAAUAAGGAUCGGCUAACUCCGUGCCAGCAGCCGCGGUAAUACGGAGGAGCCGAGCGUUAUCCGGAUUUAUUGGGUUUAAAGGGAGCGUAGGUGGAUUGUUAAGCCAGUUGUGAAAGUUUGCGGCUCAACCGGAAAAUUGCAGUUGAAACUGGCAGUCUUGAGUACAGUAGAGGUGGGCGGAAUUCGUGGUGUAGCGGUGAAAUGCUUAGAUAUCACGAAGAACUCCGAUUGCGAAGGCAGCUUACUGGACUGCAACUGACACUGAGGCUCGAAAGUGUGGGUAUCAAACAGGAUUAGAUACCCUAGUAGUC